AUUGAACGCUGGCGGCAUGCCUUACACAUGCAAGUCGAACGGCAGCACGGGUGCUUGCACCUGGUGGCGAGUGGCGAACGGGUGAGUAAUACAUCGGAACGUACCUUAUCGUGGGGGAUAACGCAGCGAAAGCUGUGCUAAUACCGCAUACGCCCUGAGGGGGAAAGCGGGGGAUCGCAAGACCUCGCGCGAUUAGAGCGGCCGAUGCCUGAGUAGCUAGUUGGUGGGGUAAAAGCCCACCAAGGCGACGACCAGUAGCUGGUCUGAGAGGACGAUCAGCCACACUGGGACUGAGACACGGCCCAGACUCCUACGGGAGGCAGCAGUGGGGAAUUUUGGACAAUGGGGGCAACCCUGAUCCAGCAAUGCCGCGUGAGUGAAGAAGGCCUUCGGGUUGUAAAGCUCUUUUGUCAGGGAAGAAACACCGGCUCUAACACAGUCCGGGAAUGACGGUACCUGAAGAAUAAGCACCGGCUAACUACGUGCCAGCCGCCGCCGUAA
rnacentral:rRNA from 1 species